GGGAAGUAGCUCAGCUUGGUAGAGCACUUGGUUUGGGACCAAGAGCGGAGGAUAUUCAUCCAUCUCCCCA
rnacentral:tRNA from 1 species